rnacentral:rRNA from 1 species
UUCCCCUUCGGGGGACAAAGUGACAGGUGGUGCAUGGUUGUCGUCAGCUCGUGUCGUGAGAUGUUGGGUUAAGUCCCGCAACGAGCGCAACCCUUAAGCUUAGUUGCCAUCAUUAAGUUGGGCACUCUAAGUUGACUGCCGGUGACAAACCGGAGGAAGGUGGGGAUGACGUCAAAUCAUCAUGCCCCUUAUGAUUUGGGCUACACACGUGCUACAAUGGACAAUACAAAGGGCAGCGAAACCGCGAGGUCAAGCAAAUCCCAUAAAGUUGUUCUCAGUUCGGAUUGUAGUCUGCAACUCGACUACAUGAAGCUGGAAUCGCUAGUAAUCGUAGAUCAGCAUGCUACGGUGAAUACGUUCCCGGGUCUUGUACACACCGCCCGUCACACCACGAGAGUUUGUAACACCCGAAGCCGGUGGAGUAACCUUUUAGGAGCUAGCCGUCGAAGGUGGGACAAAUGAUUGGGGUGAAGUCGUAACAAGGUAGCCGUAUCGGAAGGUGCGGCUG